rnacentral:rRNA from 1 species
CAGUAGCCGCGGGAAUACGGAGGGUGCAAGCGUUAAUCGGAAUUACUGGGCGUAAAGCGCACGCAGGCGGUCUGACAAGUCAGAUGUGAAAUCCCCGGGCUUAACCUGGGAACUGCAUUUGAAACUGUCAGGCUGGAGUCUUGUAGAGGGGGGUGGAAUUCCAGGUGUAGCGGUGAAAUGCGUAGAGAUCUGGAGGAAUACCGGUGGCGAAGGCGGCCCCCUGGACAAAGACUGACGCUCAGGUGCGAAAGCGUGGGGAGCAAACAGGAUUAGAUACCCGGGUAUCCCUGUCUCUUAUACA